GACGAACGCUGGCGGCGUGCCUAAUACAUGCAAGUCGAACGCAGUGGGGACGGGUGAGUAACACGUGGGUAACCUCCCAUCAGAGGGGAUAACACUUGGAAACAGGUGCUAAACCGAUACUGAUUGAUGGACCCGCUGUGCAUUAGCUAGUUGGUGAGGUAACGGGUCACCAAGGCCACGAGGCAUAGACGACCUGAGAGGGUGAUCAGCCACACUGGGACUGAGACACGGACCAGACUCCGACGGGAGGCAGCAGGAGGGAAUCUUGGGCAAUGGACGAAAGUCUGACCGAGCAACGCCGCGUGAGUGAAGAAGGGUUUCGGAUCGUAAACCUCUGUUGUUAGAGAAGCGGUAUCUAAACAGAAAGCCACGGCUAACUACGUGCCAGCAGCCGCGGUAAUUC
rnacentral:rRNA from 1 species